CCUACGGGUGGCAGCAGUAGGGAAUAUUGCUCAAUGGGGGAAACCCUGAAGCAGCAACGCCGCGUGGAGGAUGAAGGCUCUAUGGUUGUUAACUCCUUUUUUUAGAGGAGUUAAUGACGGUAUGUGACGACUAUUCUCUGGCUAACGCCGUGCAAGCAGCCGCGGUAAUACGGAGGGUGCAAGGGUUACUCGGAAUCACUGGGCGUAAAGCGGGCGCAGGUGGGCUUGUAAGUCAGCUGUGAAAUCCUGUGGCUUAACUAGAGAACUGCAGUUGAAACUAGGAGUCUAGAGUGUGGGAGAGGUAGGCGGAAUUCGUGGUGUAGGGGUAAAAUGCGUAGAUAUCAAGAAGAAUUCUGAUUGCGAAGGCGACCUACUGGAACGUAACUGACGCUGAUGCUCGAAAGCGUGGGGAGCAAACAGGAUUAGAUACCCGUGUAGUC
rnacentral:rRNA from 1 species